AACGAACGCUGGCGGCAGGCUUAACACAUGCAAGUCGAGCGCCCCGCAAGGGGAGCGGCAGACGGGUGAGUAACGCGUGGGAAUCUACCCAUCUCUACGGAAUAACGCAUGGAAACGUGUGCUAAUACCGUAUACGUCCUUCGGGAGAAAGAUUUAUCGGAGAUGGAUGAGCCCGUGUUGGAUUAGCUAGUUGGUGGGGUAAAGGCCUACCAAGGCGACGAUCCAUAGCUGGUCUGAGAGGAUGAUCAGCCACACUGGGACUGAGACACGGCCCAGACUCCUACGGGAGGCAGCAGUGGGGAAUAUUGGACAAUGGGCGCAAGCCUGAUCCAGCCAUGCCGCGUGAGUGAUGAAGGCCCUAGGGUUGUGAAGCUCUUUCACCGGUGAAGAUAAUGACGGUAACCGGAGAAGAAGCCCCGGCUAACUUCGUGCCAGCCGCCGCCGUAAGAC
rnacentral:rRNA from 1 species